AGCUUUUUCUCACGGGCAUUGUCUCAAGCUUUCUCGGUUUCUCUUUUUUGCGACACUCUUUCAAACUCAUGCUCUCUCCCUCUCAAUUCUUACACAACAACAACUACGACGCAGAUUCUCUUGGUCUUGAAUUGGUUGGAUUUGGAUUUCAGAACUGAUUCGAAUUGUUAUCGACUCAGAAUUUGAUUCGCGUUGGGGGUUCAGAAUCUAUUUGUGCUCGAAAUUUCAACUCAGAGCAGUUUGAGUUAAAGUUACAGCAAGCAUACGAUAUCAUAAAGCUGAGAAUGGAGGAAUGCUUACCGGUUGAAGCGACGAGGAGAAGAAAAUGCAGCUUUCGAUCUUGCUCACAAGGUAUUCGAUAAAAUGCCUCACUGGAAUUUUUUCCUCUUUUUGCUUUUAUUUUACUUUUGAUUUGUUGCUGUUGUGUUUCUUAGUUGCUAUUGAUGUUGGUUUGCAUAUUAGCAUAGAAUUAUUGUCGUUAUUACCAUUUCGUACUAUUGCCGAUGAGAAGUAAUUAUUGUUCAUUGGAAUACAAUUUGUAGGAGUAAUUAUCGUGCUAUUGAGCCCUUUUCCAAUUGAUAGAACAUGUUAGUGGAAAUUCUAAUUAAUUUUCCAAUCAUUAUAGUCUAAAUGGACAUUAAUAAAUUUGUUGCUUUGCUUUCAUUUCAAAUUUUCAAGUUAGUGCCUUCAUACACCAAGGAAAUGAUAAACAUUGAAGAUUAUUCCCACCGCAUAGAAAAGUUGCAUGCCGCAUAGAAGUCUUUAAAAAGGGAUGCUAAGUUGCCUGAGAACAAUGAAAAAUGCUCCUGAGCUGACCUUUCAUGGGAGAGGGGGUGAAUAUAUUUUUAGGGGAUUUCAACAAGUAGAACUCUAGCCUUAGCAAAGUAUUUUGAGAGAAUGGAAGAGAGAAGCAGAGCUUUUUCAUGGUUCAGAUUUUGCAUUCGAGCCAAGUUUUCGCUACAGAGGCUCUUCGGAGAUAAAUAGUAGCUUUAAUGAAUGUAGAAGGAAUCAUUAGGGAACUUGUUGCAAGCCAUCUCCACGUUACAUGUUCUUUAAUAUUGUUCUUUACAAAGCUGUUGUUGCUAAAGCAGCUGGUAUAAUCCACUUCUAACCCUUUUUUAAAAUUUACUAAUAUUUAUUACCAGCCCCGGUUUGACAGCAAUGCAUUUUCUCUAUUUUGGCUAAUCAUGAUUUAAUUGUUUUGUAAUUUUUAAGGGGAUUAGCUUUUGUGAAUAGACUUUUCCUUUGUGUGUUAUGCUUCAUUAUAGUCUUGCAAAGUGAGACUUAUUUGUGGGUUUAAACAUACUACUAUUUUUAUGUGACAUAUAUUGAUCAGUUAAGCAGUUUCCCAAAUCCCAAUAUUGUUCUGUUUGGACCAUACAUGAAACAUGGACGACAUCAGCUAGUGGAGGGUUAUUAAAAGUUGACAGCUGCGUUAAAUAUCACCCAAACCUAUUAAGGAUUGACCUUGUUUGCUUACGAAAGAGAGAUGGUUUUGUAUCAUGAGAUUUUUGCGAAAAUAAAACAUGUCUGCACUCUGCAUUGUAUUAUCCACGCACUUUCUUUCUCCAGAUUUUCAUGUUUUACUAACUAACUAAGAUGGGAAAGAUUUCAUUAUAUUGAAAAAUGGAUGCCAAUAUGGGUUGAUAAGUCAUUACAUUAGGCUCAGUAAAUUGAGACUCUGAUCUGAUAGAUUUUUGUAGAGAUAGCCAUGUAAUAUGGCGGGGAAAAAGAUUUAUUAGGAUUCCUAUCCAAAUUAUGUUUCUAAGUGCUUUCUUGUUUCUACUGUUUUGAUGACUUCAUGCUUCUUUUUUGUUUAUGUUCAGUUUACUAAAAUUAUCAAUUUCCCCAAAAUUGUACAAUAGUGAAAGGGAGGGACGAAGGAGACAUCUUUUCUGCGAUGCCAGGCAGUGUCUCAAGAAAUCAGCCAAGAAUAUCCGCCAAAGAGGAGACUACUGUAAAUGCUUGCGGAUUUGAAGAAGAAAGUAUGAGCUCUAGUACAUUUGCUCUGCUGUGUAAACUGCCAAGUUUUAAUGUUUCCAUUUAAAUGCAAUUUGGAACUGAGAUAUGUAGCGUAUGGUGAACUAGUUACAGAAGCAGGACCACCUUUAUGCGGCCAGAUUAAAACUUCACCGAAACAGUAAGUGGAUACUUUUAUAUGUUACUGUUAUUGAGCCUUAAACUUUAUAUGACCAAAGAGAAUGAUUGCAUUGUUUUCUUGUUUCUUCUAACUAAUUGUUCUACUUAGUUAGGCAUCUGUGGCAAAUAAACAGAUAAAAGGUGUUCUCACUUCUCAAUUAAUCUAGAAGCAUAUGUCAAACAUAUGUUUAUUCACUUAGUGUUUGAAUGGCUUUAGAUGACUGCACUAUGCCUUUUUCUUUCUUUCUUUAUAUGGGUGUGUGGUAUUUGGAUUGGUGAAGUUGGGAUUUUUAAGACUUCAUUAGUUGCUUUGGUUUCUUUGGCUCGGGGAAUUUUAGAACUUCCAAACUAAUUUAAAUAUAAACCAAGUGAUAGAAUUUGAGGAGUGUCACUAAAGCUGUAAUUUAAAAAGUGUUAGCUCAUUUGUUACUAUUAGUGGGAUAGCUCAAAGAAAAUUAUAGAAAGAUGUAGAAAUAGAUUAUUGGGUCAUAAUAUUAAUGUAAUUAGUAGAGUGAAGUGUGAGGAACUCUUUCUUUAAGUGUUUACAAUAUAUUUCUCUCAUUCUUUUCUCUUCUAUAAGCAAUUUCUACUUUUUAGAUUUAUUGAAUAAAUGAUAUAUUUAGACUAUUUAUAAAUUAGAGAUCUUCCUAAAAAGAUGGCUGGGGAAUUGAUGAGAAUGCAGCUAAAAGGACCUGGUGGCUUUAUUACACUAUCAAAUAUUUAUGCCACUGAAGGUGAUUGGGAAGAGGUUGGGAAUGUGAGAAAGGUGAUGAAGGAAAGAAAUGUCAGUAAGUUUCCUGGUUUUAGUUGGCUUGAAAAGCCAUGUGAGAUUCUCAAAGGGAAGGAAGAUUAAGAGGUGGCUGUUGGGUUGAAUUUAUUCUUCAACACAGUGUUAAAUUUCAGGUGGAGAUUCUCUGAAUAAUGAGUUUCUGCUAAGAUCAAGCUUUGGCACUUGAUUUAGUCCUCCAAUGGAGCUUGGGAUUGGACCGAGAAUUGAUUUCUGCCAAGCAAAAUGUUUUGAAGGGAAGGGAAAUUUGAGAGUGAAUUUAGUAAAGGACCAGACAAGGCAUUGUUUGACAAAUCAAGUUGUUCGAAUCUAAAACUAACUGGCUGAGAUGAACUGUUAGUAUUCUCUGACAAAGUUCCUAACAAGUUUAAGGGUAAUUUCACUAAUGAAGUUGUUCAUUCACAGCCUAAGUGUCUCUAAAGCUGGUAAGUCUGCAAUGUAAUCCGGCAUUGAUUUCUACCAUUGAUGUUUGUAGUACGAUUUUUGAUGCCACAACAAUUUUCAAACAUUGGAGAAGGAAAGCACUCUUAACAGUUAACAGUAUUUGCUCAUUCUCUUUAUUACUAUAUUGCUUUCCAAGAUUACAUAUAUAUUUGAUAGUUGCUUUCCAACAUUGGAAGCAUGAAGAUUAUUGAUAGGAAGAAGAAUAUAUUCAAGGUUUCACAGGGCGAAUAUAUCGCAGUUGAAAAUCUGGAGAAUAUUAUUAUUUUUCGGUUAAUAGUACUUUAUCCCCCUGUAAUAUGAGCGUGUUUCGGUUUACCCCCCUACCGUUGCCAAAGGCAGGUUUUGGCAACGGUUUUUUUGAAAAAACCGUUGCCAAAAGGUAGGGAGGGGGAAAAAGCAAAAUUCGCUAAUAUUACAAGGGGGUGAAAGUACUAUUAACCCUUAUUUUUCUAUAGUAACUUGUUCUAUAAAUUUGUAU